rnacentral:rRNA from 1 species
ACGCGAGCUGGGUUCAGAACGUCGUGAGACAGUUCGGUCCCUAUCUGCCAUGGGCGUUGGAGAUUUGAGGUGGGCUGCUCCUAGUACGAGAGGACCGGAGUGGACGUACCGCUGGUGUUCUGGUUGUCAUGCCAAUGGCAUUGCCAGGUAGCUACGUACGGAAGCGAUAACCGCUGAAAGCAUCUAAGCGGGAAGCGCGCACCAAGAUGAGAUCUCCCGGGGCUUCGAGCCCCCUGAAGGACCCUCGUAGACCACGAGGUUGAUAGGCGCGGUGUGGAAGUGCAGCAAUGCAUUGAGCUAACGCGUACUAAUGAUCCGUGCGGCUUGACCAUAUAACCCCAAG